CAAACAUGAAGGGACAGGGUCGGAUCUCAAUUAGGGGAGAAUCAAACCCCGCGAUGGCAUAUUUUGAGUUCACUGACGGAAUGUUGCGUGUGUUUCGUGUAACCCUGGAAGUCAGUCGCUAAUGAGUCACAGGAGCUGUACUCACAUGACUGGAGAUGAUGUCAAGAUGGCCGCCAACUGAAUUGAUGUUGCAGAAAUCGUCUGGCCCAACAUCAGUUAUACUUACAAAAACCAACCUGCAUAAUGCAAAAUACCAUUUUCACAUAAAAAUCACUAAAUCAAAAAAAAAAGCCUAAUAUGAGAUUUAAUUUUUCUCCUGAAUUGGCAAUUAUACACAGUAACAUAAAAACUCUCCAAAACACAACCAAACAAUUUAGACAAAUCGCUUAUGUAGACUAAUGUUUAAUCACAAUACUAUUUUAAAAAAUUAUCACCCGUACAUUUGAUCAACACAUUUUCCCAAAUUGAUUAACACAGCAUCAAAACAAUUAAUCUGCAAGCAAAUUGUGAACUCAAAUUAAAUUAGACAUCGUCUCCAGUCCUCUAAAUGGCAAAAAAGUGUCUCAGUUUACCUGAAUGAACUACAAUUGUUUUUUUUUGUAUGUAUAUAUAUA